UACGGAGGAUGCAAGCGUUAUCCGGAAUGAUUGGGCGUAAAGCGUCCGCAGGUGGCUGUGUAAGUCUGCUGUCAAAGAGCAAAGCUCAACUUUGUAAAGGCAGUGGAAACUACACGGCUAGAGUGCGUUCGGGGCAGAGGGAAUUCCUGGUGUAGCGGUGAAAUGCGCAGAUAUCAGGAGGAACACCGGUGGCGAAGGCGGGUCUCUGGGCAGUAACUGACGCUGGAGGAAGCGGAAAGCGUGGGGAGCGAACAGG
rnacentral:rRNA from 1 species